AAGACAAUCUUGGGACAAUUUUGCUCUUUGGGUCUUUGUGCCAACCAUGCCAGCUAUCGUAGGGUGCUCUGGGAACUUCUUAGAUCUGUUUACUGUAUGUACACUUACUGAAAUAAGCAUUUUGUUUACAUAAAAUCCCUUGUCAUUUCACCACUAGGUUUGAAACCCAGACAACACGAAGCAUCUUGCCGACGUCAAAAUCAGAUCAACAGACAGGGACAUCAGCCUUCUCUUGGGAAUAGGCCAGAUAUGCCAUAACAAGAAAUGAUGUUUUGCCCCUGCGGUUGUGAAGAGGAUGCUGUGGAGGUGGCAGCAUGAACGUGUCACACAGACAUUGGCUAAACUACUCGGCUUCUACACUUGCCCUCAGAGUUCACAUAUGGUGAAGUGCACAGGUGUCCAGUCAGGUUCAGACUGAUGCUGGUAACAAGAGGAAAACAUGCUAAUUGGAGUAUGGAGGCCUCGGCGGUCCAUCAUCUUUGGCAGCUGGGGAGCUGAGGAGUUCGGCCUCAUCGGAUCAGCAGAGUACACAGAGAUGACAUUUCCAGCAUGUCCAACUCAUCAGCAUCAGGGGAGAUUCGGUGAAGGUGGUGCACCAUCCAGGACCAGUCAUGGGCCUCCAACACCUCUGCAAAAUCUACACUUCUUGUGAACCCUGUAGAAGACACUACAACCACAAAACUGCUAAUAAACCAUCACAUACUGCAUCACAUCAUGGUUCUCCAUGUGUUACUGCACCCUCGGCACAAGUUCUUUGCUAGAUUGCCAUCUGGCAGAUGCAUCAGGACAGGAAUGUAGCUACUAUUUGUGAUUAUAUCUCCCCACACUCUUACUUGCUUUGCAUGGCAGUGUGUCUCAAUGUGUGUCAGAAUGGAAGGUGUCGCACCAUUGAAGUCAAUGGGCAGUGGCAUUGCAUCAGGGUUAUAGAAGCCCAGAUAUCCUUGAUGCUUUGAUGCCAGCUGUUUUUUUGUGUGAUCUGAUCACCCACACUUCCCUCUUCAUUAUGUCUCAUAGAUUUCCAUACCACGUUUUGGUGCUUUGGUGGUAUGGACAUUCUAACUCACCAGAAAAAAAAAAACAUUGAAAAUGAAUGGAAGGUUAUGUCUGGUGAUUUCUGGUAAAUUAGAAUGCCCAUAUCAUCAAAGUGGCACUGGAUUACUCAACCAUUUGCCUCUUAAAAAGAUAGCUUCUGCCAAUUUCAAUAUGCUGUUGUAUAGCUCAUGCUACCCUUGACUUGUCAGUACCCGGUGAUGCUGGCAUUUUUUGACUCAGCUCUUUCUGAGAUCUGAGCUAUUCUAAUGGGGGCAGACUUUGAUUGCAUUAAAAACCUUCUUAACAUAGGCCUAAUCCAAAUACUAUCCCAAAAGGUAUCACUGUCUGUUUGCUAGUUGUCUGCUGAUGUUGCAUAACCUUUUGAAUGUUAUUGGGAAUAAAUGAAGAUGUUUUUUUGAAAUGUAAACAAACGCCUGCCCCCAUUACAAUGGCAUGGGUAUGUGGAAGAGCUGUCCCUUACUCAUGCACCUGUGUAACAAAAUGUUAUUUUU